AGAGUUUGAUCAUGGCUCAGAACGAACGCUGGCGGCGUGCCUAACACAUGCAAGUCGCGCGAGAAAGCGGGGGCAACUCCGUGAGUAAAGCGGCGCACGGGUGAGUAAUACGUAGGUAACCUGCCUUCGAGACCGGGAUAACCUUCCGAAAGGAGGGCUAAUACUGGAUGAGACCACGGAGCCUCGGCUCUGCGGUCAAAGGUGGCCUCUGCUUGCAAGCUACCACUCGGAGAUGGGCCUGCGCACCAUUAGCUAGUUGGCGAGGUAACGGCUCACCAAGGCGAAGAUGGUUAGCUGAUCUGAGAGGACGAUCAGCCACACUGGGACUGAGACACGGCCCAGACUCCUACGGGAGGCAGCAGUGGGGAAUCUUGGACAAUGGGGGAAACCCUGAUCCAGCGACGCCGCGUGGGUGAUGAAGGCCUUCGGGUCGUAAAGCCCUGUCGGGAGGGAAGAAACUCCUGCCGGUAAACAAUCGGCGGGAUUGACGGUACCUCCUAAGGAAGCACCGGCUAACUCUGUGCCAGCAGCCGCGGUAAGACAGAGGGUGCUAGCGUUGUUCGGAAUUACUGGGCGUAAAGGGCGCGUAGGCGGUCUGCUAAGUUCGGUGUGAAAUCCCCCGGCUCACCCGGGGAACUGCGCCGGAAACUGGCAGACUGGAGUACCGGAGAGGAGGGUGGAAUUCCUGGCGUAGCGGUGAAAUGCGUAGAUAUCAGGAGGAACACCGGUGGCGAAGGCGGCCCUCUGGACGGAUACUGACGCUGAGGCGCGAAAGCGUGGGGAUCAAACAGGAUUAGAUACCCUAGUAGUCC
rnacentral:rRNA from 1 species